CUCUCUCUCUCUCUCUUUCUCUAUUGCUCUGAAACGUUGUUGGGUUUUUCCCCUUGGCUUUCGUUGUGAUUGAGUAUGAGCUAUGUGUUUUACACUUACUAUUUUUUGUUUUUAAUUUCGUGAGCAAGGUAAAAUCCUUUGUUUUGCCUGUUUUGGCUAGUAAUUUUGGGUUCCUCUGGCUAUAAAGUAGAUUAAUGAUACAUGGACAGAUCCAAUAAGUUCAAAAUUUGAAUAAAUUAUUUUGUUUUAAAACUUGAACUUGAUUAAUCAGAGUUGGAUUUACCAGGCUCGACUGUUCAAGCUUACGAAUUGAGUCACUGAGGAGUGUUUAGACUAUGUUGUUUGAAUGUGGUGUUUGUUUACCAGUCAAUUUUUUAGUUUCAAGGGAUUUUUUUUUUCUCAUUUGAAGUCUUGAAAGUUGUAAUAGUAUCUAUUCAAGGCAUUCCUCCCUAGUUUUGAGCGUACGGAAGAAGAAAUUUUUAGUUGAAAUCGUUGA
rnacentral:misc_RNA from 1 species